AUUUGAUGGUGAGGGCACUUUAUUUGUAGGUCCUUGAACCUCUCCUAUGCUUCAAAGAAUGACUCACAAGAUUAUUAUUUAAAGGUUUGCAGUUGAGUUCUAAUUU